rnacentral:rRNA from 1 species
GUAAAGAGCGGCGGACGGGUGAGUAACGCGUGGGUAACCUACCCUGUACACACGGAUAACAUACCGAAAGGUAUGCUAAUACGGGAUAAUAUAUUUGAGAGGCAUCUCUUGAAUAUCAAAGGUGAGCCAGUACAGGAUGGACCCGCGUCUGAUUAGCUAGUUGGUAAGGUAACGGCUUACCAAGGCGACGAUCAGUAGCCGACCUGAGAGGGGGAUCGGCCACAUUGGAACUGAGACACGGUCCAAACUCCUACGGGAGGCAGCAGUGGGGAAUAUUGCACAAUGGGCGAAAGCCUGAUGCAGCAACGCCGCGUGAGUGAUGAAGGCCUUCGGGUCGUAAAACUCUGUCCU